rnacentral:sRNA from 1 species
CCUCAGGGUUGAUCGGCACUCGGGAAGCAGGAGGCAAACUCCCCUUCCAUGAACUAAGAGGAUCAAAUGUGAAAUUCCUGUCAUGAGGUACAGCCUGGGAUGGUUGAAAUUGUGAAGGCUGCGGUUUAAUCCAGCCGAAGUGGAGGCAGUGUCGAACUCCCAUGUUGAUGACCAUGUAUCUUCACAUCCGGAUAUUUUUAAUCCCCCAGCCGUCCGAGUGACCAGCUAAUUCGAAGGCAUCCAAGCCUCCUUCUCUAUGUCAAUGUACAGGUACAUGUACAUGUACAUAGGUUACAUAUACAAACCUGAUACCGAAUGCAGUGGCUCGUCACGCUACCCAUUUUAUGAGCUACUAUCCUAGCUCGAUGGCCACGAAGACACCAAAGACCAACCCACGAAGGGAAAAGGGUCCAGAUCUUCUGUGACAUAUCUCAAUCUCUACUCGCAGAUCAUGGCUGCGUUGUCAGCCACUCGCGCCAUGGCCGUUGUUGUGUACAGGUUGAACCACGGUUCACCCAUUUUCUGCCAAAUCUCUUUCGUUACUUUUCUUUCUUUCUAUUUUAAUUAUACGCUGCUUCAAAUAAAAGGUUGGACAG